GCAUAACGCGAAGAACCUUACCCACCUUUGACAUGUACGGAAUCCUUUAGAGAUAGAGGAGUGCUCGAAAGAGAGCCGUAACACAGGUGCUGCAUGGCUGUCGUCAGCUCGUGUCGUGAGAUGUUGGGUUAAGUCCCGCAACGAACGCAACCCUUGCCAUUAGUUGCUACGAAAGGGCACUCUAAUGGGACUGCCGGUGACAAACCGGAGGAAGGUAAGAAUGACGUCAAGUCCUCAUGGCCCUUAUAGGUGGGGCUACACACGUCAUACAAUGGCUGGUACAAAGGGUUGCCAACCCGCGAGGGGGAGCUAAUCCCAUAAAGCCAGUCGUAGUCCGGAUCGCAGUCUGCAACUCGACUGCGUGAAGUCGGAAUCGCUAGUAAUGGCGCAUCAUCUACGGCGCCGUGAAUACGUUCCCGGGUCUUGUACACACCG
rnacentral:rRNA from 1 species